AUAGCAAGUAUUAAAUGUCUAUUUUUGUAGUUUGUAUGUACUGGUAUGUAUUUUAUUAUAUAUAAACACCCCUACAUUUUGCUAUGAAGAGUAGGGACCCCGCCAUCACAUUUCUAAUUGGGCCCCGCGGUUCUUGGCAUCGGGCCUGUGUCUAUGAUUCACAAGUUUCUUCAAUUUAGUAGAACACGUUAAUCCUGUAUUCAGGCAAUGUUCGUUAAGUGCCUUGCGCAUAACCGACUAGCGAGAGACCAGUUUUAGUUAGUUAAGUUUAUUUUUUGUUUCCACGAUGAAAACUCGAUGCAGGACAUUUGAUAAAAAUUUGAAAAACGGCAAAUCGUCAGCCGUUAGAACACGUCUAAAAAUCAAUCAAUUAUCAAGUUUCGGUAUAAUUAGACGUGGCCGCUAAAUCCACAUAAAAAAAUUAAAAUGAAAAAAUAAAUGUUAAUAGAAAAUUACACAAUCUUGAAGAAAAGUGUGCAGUAAAGCGACCCGUGCAAUGGGGGAGCUGGCUUUAGGAGAAGUUGUGGCCCGGAAAGUGUGGGCCACACUGGAAAAAAAAACAAAAUAAAUUCCACUAAAAAGUUUUAAGCGUAACACUUACCAAGGCAAGUAUAAAUACAGACCGCGAAAGCGUGGCCUAUUAAUCCUUUGAACUUGCGAGUUUCAAGCAAAAGGUGCCAGAAAAGUUACCACAGGGAUAACUGGCUUGUGGCAGCCAAGCGUUCAUAGCGACGGUGCUUUUUAAUCCUUCGAUGUCGACUCGUUUGAUUGUUUAUUGGUUUUUAAGACGUCUUCUAACGACUGUGAUUUUGGCGUUUUUAUUCGUUUUCCAAAUUUUUAUUAAAGAUCCUGCAUUUUGUUUUUCAACGUGAGCUGGAAUUAGACCGCUGCUCAGUACGAGAGGAGCCGCAGAUUAGGACAUUUGGUUCAUGUGCUUGGCUGAUAAGUAAAUGGUGCGAAGCUACUAUCUGAGAUAUUAUGACUGAACGCCUCUAAGUCAAAAUCCCGCCUGGAAAGCGACGAUGCUUCCGUGCCUCGGCCUUGAGAGGCGUAGCUAGACGGCCGCGUUGCAGUGUAAAGAGCCCGAUUCCGACCCGAGAGGCCGGGGCGACAGUCGGCCUCGAAGUCGGUGAAUCCUUCUGGUCGAAAGGCGGGGUGCUAAACCAUUCGCGGACGACCUAGUUGAAAAUCGGGGUGUCGGGCGUGAGUGUCGAACCUACAAUCCUUCGGCUGAA
rnacentral:ncRNA from 1 species